GGGAGAAUAUACCGUAGGGGUAGCGGGGCUGCCUGUAAAGCAGUUGCCAUUAUGGCUCGGGUGGUUCAACUCCAUCUUCUCCCA
rnacentral:tRNA from 1 species